UACAGAGGGGGCAAGCGUUGUUCGGAAUUACUGGGCGUAAAGCGCACGUAGGCGGAUUUGUUAGUCAGGGGUGAAAUCCCGAGGCUCAACCUCGGAACUGCCUUUGAUACUGCAAAUCUCGAGUCCGGAAGAGGUGAGUGGAAUUCCUAGUGUAGAGGUGAAAUUCGUAGAUAUUAGGAAGAACACCAGUGGCGAAGGCGGCUCACUGGUCCGGUACUGACGCUGAGGUGCGAAAGCGUGGGGAGCAAACAGG
rnacentral:rRNA from 1 species